UCCGCAGUAGCUCAGCGGUAGAGCAUCCGACUGUUAAUCGGACGGUCGUAGGUUCGAAUCCUACCUGCGGAGCCA
rnacentral:tRNA from 1 species